AUUAAGGUUUGUUUAAUAAAUUAUUUUUAAAUAAAGUAAUAUAAAAAUUUUAUUGUUUAAGUAUAAAGUAAGAAUAAAUAAAAUUAAUGUUAUAGAUAGUAAUGAAAAUGAUUUUUUGAAAAAAGUAAAAAAGUAAAUUUUUAAGAGACAGCCUUUUGUAUAAGGGUUAAUUAAUUAAAAUAUUUAAAUUUAAAUAUUUCUCGAAUUUAAAAGAUUUAUUUAAAAAUUUUAGUUAAUGUAGAAAUAUUAUUAAUAAUUUUUAAAUAGAAGUGAAAUGUUAAUCGAUUUUAAAUAUAUCUAGUUUUUUUAGAAUUGAAUAUAAUUCAGAUUUAUAAAUUAUAUAAAUAGAAAUUAUUUUUAUAGAUAUAAAUUUAUAGAUUAAAUAUUUUUGGGAUAAACUAAGAAUAUAAAAAUAAUUAAAAUUUAAUGUUAAAUAAUAAAAAUAUUCAUAAAAUUUGAAUUUUUUAAAAAAAAUGUUAUAAUUUAUACAUCUAUAUAAUAAUAGAUUAAAAAUUUUAGAUUUUUAUUUAAUUAAUAAAGAUAAGCCAAGUAAAGAUCCUAGAUUUCAUCAGUAAUUAAUAUUAAUAGGUGUAGGACUGUCUCUUAUACACAUCUAGAUGUGUAUAAGAGACAGAUAUUAAGGAACUCGACAAAAAUUUUAUUUAAAAUAAAAAUAUAUUCACCUGUUUAUCAAAAACAUGGCUUAUUAGAUAAAAAUAAUAGGUCUAUUCUGCCCAUUGAUUUAUAUUAAAGGCUGGCAGUUAUUGACUGUACAAAGGUAGCAAAAUCAUUUGUUUUUUAAUUAAAAACUGGAAUGAAAGAGUGGAUGAAAUAUAAAUUGUCUCAAUAUAAUAGUAUUGAAUUUAAAUUAAAAGUUAAAAUGCUUUUAUUUAUUAAUAAGACGAUAAGACCCUAUAGAAUUUAAUAAAAUUUAUUUUUUAAAAUUAAUAUAUUAAUAAAAUUUAAUGAAUAAAUAUAUUUUAUUGGGAGGAUAAUUAAAUUAAUUAAACUUUAAUAAUUAAUGAACAUAGAUUAAUGAGUUAUUUGAUUAUUGUUAUAAUUAUUAGAAUAAAUUACCUUAGGGAUAACAGCGUUAUAAUUUUGGAGAGUUCAUAUCGAUAAAAUUGUUUGCGACCUCGAUGUUGAAUUAUGAUAAAAAUUAAAUGGAGAAAUUUAAAUUUUUAGUCUGUUCGACUAUUAAAAUCAUACAUGAUUUGAGUUCAGAUCGGUGUAAGCCAGAUCGGUUUCUAUCUAUUAAAUAAAUAUAUUUUAUUGUACGAAAGGACUUAAAAUAUUAAAUAUUUUAUUAUAAAAUU
rnacentral:rRNA from 1 species